GACGAAGGAUGCAAGCGUUAUCCGGAUUCAUUGGGCUUAAAGGGUGCGUAGGUGGCCUUAUAAGUCAGUGGUGAAAUCUCUCAGCUUAACUGAGAAAUUGCCAUUGAUACUGUAGGGCUUGAGUAUAGUUGCCGUUGGCGGAAUAUGACAUGUAGUGGUGAAAUACAUAGAGAUGUCAUAGAACACCGAUUGCGAAGGCAGCUAACGAAACUAUAACUGACACUGAGGCUCGAAAGUGCGGGGAUCAAACAGG
rnacentral:rRNA from 1 species